AUAACAAUAAAUAAAUAAAUAAUAGGAUUAGUAACCUGGAUUUCAGCCCAACUCACCAUUGGACGUCAAUAUAAUCUUUAUUGUUUUAGGAUUCUCAGCUGCAGCGGACAUGCAGUAAAGCCUUAUUUUCUUUUCAAAACGGAAUACAUCAGCGUUAUCACUUAUUUUCAUUGGUUAAGGAAACGGUGUCUAUUUAUAAGUCUAGGAGAACGCUUUAGGCUUCAACAGUUCUCUCCUUCGAGCAAACAUGCACAAAUUUCCGGACAGUUUAUAGUAACGUUCCAUCCCAUUCCAUUCAUUGCAUAAAAAUAAACAUUAAAUGAAUAAUUUGGCAUUCAGCUGACUAAAUGAUUCAUGGAACAUCUCAUCCGAGACAACAGUGUUGUUUCAGCUCCGUUGAGUUUCCCAACAGAUCUAGCCAAACCUAGCUGAUCCUAUAUUUUUCUAUCAGCUGUAAGUUCUAACGUAGAAAAUAAUGUUACAAAAAUAUUGAAUAAUGGUACCCCUCAUUCUAUAAAAAUUAUGUUCACAUUUUUAUCCUGUGAAAUCUUUAACAUAAUAUUUUUAAUUGGCCUUUUUGACGACAAUUGGCUAAAAAGUCUUUAAGAUUAUCAUCACAGGAUGGCAUGAUAAAUAAGUAAAUAACAUAAAUAAAUAAAUAGACAAAAAUAAGAGAGAAAAAGCAAAAUUAAUUAAAUGAAACGUAAUAGUAAUAAAACGUUAAAUUGAUCUAAAAUCUGUCAUUCAGCGCCACUGGAAAAAGGAAGAGGAUAGGGGAGUAUUUCUUAGCACAAAUCACGUUAUUGAUUUAGCAAUGCAGCUUAAUUUCAGACGCUUUUUAGGAUGAUACUAAUUUGUGUUAUAGAUGGAGGAGUAGCACAGAAACACACUUCUAGAUGAGGAGAUAAGGAAAAAAACUGCUGAUUACCAAUACUAUGCACAAACAAACCUGUAACUGCAGUUUCGUUAUUUAUGAAUUAACCUUAAGUAGUGAAUUAAUUCUUAGGAUUUCUUGUGCGAGUAGUGUUCUUAAAAAAGAAAGAAAGAAAGAAAGAAGGUAAGAAAGACAGGUAGUUUAGGUAAGGGACAACCUGAAACUAUUUGCUUGAAUUGAUAGUAAAAGUGGUUGUCCUAAUUUCUAAUUGGAGAGAUCACACCGCAACAUGAGUUUAGAACGGCAGUUAUGGGAAGUUUUGUUGGAUUAAUUUGAUUACACGCUUUAGGUCUUAUUUUUUUCUUUCCACUGAUUUAGCGUUAGGUUAAGUGUUUUCACACUUUCGCUUCAGUCUGACAUUUGCUUGGUGUGUGAGGGCACAGAGACGUGUAUGGACCGUGUGUUUGACUGUGUUUGUCUUGUUUGUUUAUUUAUCUAUAUGGGCAUGGCCGAGCCUUGAGAAACAUCAACAAAGCCAUUGGACUAUUCUGAGUAAAUUGACCAAUUCAAAUUCAGGAUCCUGAAACAAUUUGGCUAUAACCUCUAAUUGAUGAAGGACAUCUUAAGAAUUCAUUGUACAAGGCUUCCUCUCCAGUGUUGCCAGAACUGUUAUAAAACCCAUGCAUGGUUGUAUAUUUUAGUUUGAUCAUUUAUACUCAUUGAAUUAUUGUUGUUUGCUUUAUGUUUUAAUUUCUUUGUAAUUUUUUCUCUGUGACACAGGUGGAGAUGCUGGUGGCAAAGUGGAUCCCACUCAUUUCUUUCUCCCACACACAUUCUUACUCUCUCCCUCUCUCUCUGUGUAUGUGCAUGUGUAUGUGUUUGUGUGUCCGUGUGUGUUCAUGUCGUGAUGUCACUGUACCUUUAAUUGCGCUUGCUGUUUGUAACUGUAUGUGUCUGAUGUUGAAGGUAUCAGAGGCUAGGGUCAGUAAGAGCUAGGACAUUUUUGUGCAUAACCUUUAAUCCGUAGGCGAUCGGUUCGGGGAACUUCUGGUCCGGCCGGAGUGUGAAUCUUCCUACCAACUAUCUGCCGAGAUCAAUUGGACUGCACAAGCCGAGAAAGCCUUCAUUGGACCAAAACCACACACACGAAGAUACUUCGCCUUCGGUGCCAGGCGUCUGGGUCCUGCUGAAGGUCACCAAAAGAAAGUGGACGGAACCAAGGUGGACCGGGCCAUACAGGAUCACGGAGAGGACGUCACACGCUGUCCGGCUGGACGGCAAAGGAGACUCCUGGUACCAUUGGACCCAGUGUGCUGUGCUAAAGAGCCACACCGCACCCUGACCGAGGUCCAAGAGAACCUGUCACAAGGAGAGGAGCCUAACCUGGAAGAGAAGCAGCCGACAUCUGCCUAACCAGAGAAAGGAUCCAAAAACCAGGAAGAGAAGUAGCUGACUACAGUAGCAUGCCAAGCUGCCACCACAUCCUGCAGGACGAGAAUCGUGACAUCAUCACCCCCUGCAGCUGCCUGGAGCCAGUGAAAGGACCUCAACAGGGGGAAGAAGUAACCACCCUAUGAACAUUCUACAAGGGUUCUAUUUAACACCCUCAUUUAUUUUAGAAGGGUUAUAUUUAACACCCUCCAUUUAUUUUAUCUGGGUUCUAUUUUACACCCUCAUUUAUUUUACAAGGGUUAUAUUUUAUACCCACUACUCAUUUUAUAUUAUUAUUCAUUUACCUGUUUAGUAUUAGAUAUAUGUUUACACUCAUUGCAUUUCCAAACUCAAUUCUGAAUGUACAGAUUGAUCACCAUUGCCAUCUCUCCUCCACCUGCUGACCCAAUUAUCCAGAUGCCCUUGUUACUAGCCAAUCCUAACAUCUAUUUGGGAGGGGAACCCUCUGAUGACAGUGAUGACUCUCAUGAUGAAGAAGAUGAUGUUAGAGUGUGAGAAUGUUCAGUGAUUUAUGUAACAAUCCCUUCACCUGUUCAUUUCUAUGAGUUUUUUGAUUGUGUUGUUUUUAUUUUUUGAUCAUUGAUGUCCUAGGCAUGCCCACUCUGUGCCAAAAGGCGUUCGCCCCAAAAUGGGGGGACAUGGGGGAAUUUUCCCUAUUUGACAUACGAUAAUUAGGGUUUUUCGCCCUCAUACAGUGAGCAUGCGAUCCAUUCAUGUUGUAACAUGUUCAGUUAAAUAUAUGAUCAUGUUUUUUGUAUUAGUUUACUGCUAGAAAUAUGAGAAAAUGUAAUCUGAUUGAUUGUUUGUAUUUGUAUUUUAAAACUUUGCUUAUUAGAUUCAUUUUGAUGAUAUUUGGUGUUGUUGUUUUGAUUUCCUACAUCUUUGUUGAACUCUUAAAAGAGUUCAAAAGGGGGAUUGAAAAUAUAUGUAACUCUCCAGUGUUGCCAGUUAUUCAUUGUUACAUGCUACUCUUUUCAUUAUGGGAUCAUGUUAUAAUAUCAAAGGCCUCUCUGUGUUUCUCUCCUGCACAAGCUCUAAAACAGCUGCAGGAACUCCAAAAGGGAGUGAGACAUUGCAGUCUCUUCUUGUACCGGUUACCAAGGAUGCUUCUGCUCAUUUUAGAAUUACAAGUUCUUGUGACAUGUUAGUUCCUGCCUAACAAGGCAAUAUAUAUAUAUAUAUUUACCUUAUAAGCUCAUUUUAUUAUUCUAUGCUAUGGAAACUCGCUCAGAUACUCAAGGCCUCUACACAAAGAUUAAUAGCUGUAUAUCUUCUCCUGCACCAGAGAAGGGAGUGUGCACAUUCCAUCUCCACUCAGUGCCUCUCGGUACCAGUGAAUGUAUCUUCUCCUGUCAUGAAUGUAUCAGGAUGCUCCUAGUAAUCUCAAGGAUGCAUGUUCUCGUGAUGAAUUAACUGUCCACUAACAAGGCUGUUAUUCUUUACCUGUCAUGAUCAUUGACGUAUGUACAUGGCAAACUACGUAUGUAACAUUCCUGUAAUCUUCAAUAAAAAUCAGCCGUUUUCAGCAGAACGGCAAGAGUCUGUCCGAAGCAACUGACGGGAGCAGGUCGCGGGACCUGCUUUAUGUUGCAAAGGCUCUCCCCCUCAUGAGCGGUGAAAACAGUGA